UACGAAGGGGGCUAGCGUUGUUCGGAAUUACUGGGCGUAAAGGGCGCGUAGGCGGUCCGAUAAGUCCCGUGUGAAAUCCCUCGGCUCAACUGAGGAAUGGCACGGGAAACUGCCGGGCUUGAGUUCGGGAGAGGGAAGCGGAAUUCCGGGUGUAGCGGUGAAAUGCGUAGAUAUCCGGAGGAACACCGGUGGCGAAGGCGGCUUCCUGGACCGACACUGACGCUGAGGCGCGAAAGCUAGGGGAGCAAACGGG
rnacentral:rRNA from 1 species